rnacentral:rRNA from 1 species
GAUGAACGCUGGCGGCGUGCCUAAUACAUGCAAGUCGAGCGAACAGACGAGGAGCUUGCUCCUCUGACGUUAGCGGCGGACGGGUGAGUAACACGUGGAUAACCUACCUAUAAGACUGGGAUAACUUCGGGAAACCGGAGCUAAUACCGGAUAAUAUAUUGAACCGCAUGGUUCAAUAGUGAAAGACGGUUUUGCUGUCACGUAUAGAUGGAUCCGCGCCGCAUUAGCUAGUUGGUAAGGUAACGGCUUACCAAGGCAACGAUGCGUAGCCGACCUGAGAGGGUGAUCGGCCACACUGGAACUGAGACACGGUCCAGACUCCUACGGGAGGCAGCAGUAGGGAAUCUUCCGCAAUGGGCGAAAGCUUGACGGAGCAACGCCGCGUGAGUGAUGAAGGUCUUCGGAUCGUAAAACUCUGUUAUUAGGGAAGAACAAAUGUGUAAGUAACUAUGCACGUCUUGACGGUACCUAAUCAGAAAGCCACGGCUAACUACGUG